CGUGGCCAAGCACGACUCCAACACCAUCAUCAAGGUUGUUGACGACACGACGGCGGUAGGCCUGGUCACCGAUGGCGAUAAGCCUACAGAGAGGAGAUCAGAGAAUUAGCCGUGUGUUGCCAGGACAACAACCUCUCCCUCAAUGUCAGUAAGACCAAGGAGCUGAUCGUGGACUAUAGGAGAAAGAGGGGAGAGCACACCCCCAUCCACUUCGACUGGGCUGUUGUGGAGUGGGUCGAGAGCUCUGGGGGCCCAUGCGCCUUUCUGGCAUUGAUCUGACCCAUCACACCAGUCUUCAAGAGGGCCACUAUGCUUCAGGUCGCCUUCUGUGAUCAGAGAACCUUGAUGAGGAUCUACCCCAUCACACAACUCUUAAUUUUUUAUUUAUUAUCUAACUAGGCAAGUCAGUUGAGAACAAAUUCUUAUUUUCAAUGACGGCCUAGGAACAGUGGGAUAACUGCCUUGUUCAGGGGCAGAACGACAGAUUUGUACCUUGUAAGCUCGGGGAUUCAAACUUGUAACCUUUCGGUAGUAGACUGGUUGCAAGUUUGAUUCCCCGAGCUGACAAGGUACAAAUCUGCCGCCCCAAUUAAUCAAAUAAAACUAUGGGCAUUUAUAUAUGCUGUGUCCCAGUCUUUCUUUGCAU
rnacentral:lncRNA from 1 species